rnacentral:misc_RNA from 1 species
CAAAACUAAUGCUCUCUCAAUGCCGCCGCUCACCCCCAAUGUUCCAAACAUCGUCUAAAACCUAACCCUCAUUUUAACUCUCACGUUGUCAUCUCCCCCCAACCGAACACGAGCUCCAUUCAUGGUCGCCUCCCUAUCUUAAUACUCUGCUCGCACCACCACCAACCUCCUCCUUCUCUACCUCCCCAAAUAAUAACAAGCCUCCACCGUCUCUCUCCUUCGACACAUAUACUCCAACCUUAGCAGUUCUUUUUUCUGAUUUUCUUUAAGUUUUAACCUUUCCUCUUUCAGAAUUUCCCCUAAUCCUUAGUCUCAUAUUUCUUUAGUAUCAUAUUGCCACUUUACCGACUAGUGGCAACUCUCAUGGCCGCGGAUUUUCGGGUUUGUUGAGUUCGGGUGUGUUAAUGGGUUUCUUGAAUUUCUAGGUUUAUUAAGUUGAAUCCAGGUUGAUUUUUUGGGUUUUGUAUGAAGAUGUUCAUGGCUUUUGUUUGAAGAUGUUCCUCGAUCGAUUUUCAUGGAUUGAUUUUCUGGGUUAUCUUUGAAGGUUUUCUAAGUUAAGGAGUGUUGAGUGAUUAUUCUGUGUCUGGGUUUGAAAACUACUAAGGUUAGGUAUAAGAACCUCUUUCUUCGCUUUCUCCAUUUUUGUUUAUGUUUUAUUCUUUCCUCUAUUUUCCUCUCCCACUAACGCCUAUUUACCCUUGUUAAAGUAUUUUUCUUUAUUUCCACCCAUAGCAACUAGCAAGCAAUUGCCAAUCAUUCUCGAUUUUCUGUUUAGCAGCUGCGUCUCGCAUUCUCUCCUUAAAUCCUCUUCAACAUCCUCUUAUUUAUAGAGAGAGAAUUAAUAAAGAAUUACUAAUUAUUUGAGAUUUUAGGGCGGCGCAGUUCAACUAAAGAGAGGCAAUAUGGAAGUGCAAAUGAAAAAUUCAUGGAGAAUGAAGGGUUCCAAAAAAGAAAAACCCCAAGUUGAGCAAAUCUCAGGAAAGAAAAUUGAAGAAAUUGGAGCAGGAGAAGGAGAAAGCAUUUUCACUAGCAAAAAGCAUUGAGACCUUGGAGAAAUACAAGAUAGCAGAGGAUGCCUUUUCGCUUCUGUGAUCAUUUGCAGCCAAUGGUAACAGAAACAGAAGUUGAUACUAGGAAAACCUAUGGGUUUUUCACCAACUUCAUGUCAUCAUGAUACUAGGAAAACCUCUCACUUAAUGGUAUGUUACUCAUAUAAAUAACUUUGGGAUCAUAGAUAUGGUUAUUGGAUUUGAUAUUUAAAAUGCGACUGAUUUUAAAUUUAAGUUGAAAAACAUAUGUGAGAAAUAUUUAUUGCUUAGUCAUUUAUAAACAAAUCUCAUUAAGGUGUGGCAUUCUAUGUGUGAAUUCAAUUUUUUGUUAAUAAUGUGUGCUAUAUACAAUACAUGUCCAAUGUUGUGUUAAUAAUGCAUGCAUUAUAAGAUGAUGUGAUAGUGAUAUUACUUGUAUUCACUUGAUAGUAUGUAAAGAUUUUCCUACUGUAAAAUAUCAAAUAAAUAAUUAUUUAAAUUGUUUUGGUCAAGUAGGAGAAGUUAGAUUCCAAAUGGUUUACUCUAAAAGAUGCUGUAUUUUUUUUUAUUCCUAUUCGAAGUAUAAUAUGACAGAACUCAUGAGUUGGUGGUUGAACUGGUGUUGGAAUCCAUAGGUGAUAUAAUAAAGUGGGCACAUGUUUUGACUACACAUCUAUUCCUAGUGGGGAGACAAUUCCAUUUGGGUGGACUCAAUUCUUGGAUUCCAUUCAUAAAUAAUGAUUUGCUGAUAGUGACAAUUAUAGAUUUUGUAACACAUUGGUACCAAUUAUACAAUCAUAUAGAUUAUAGAUUUAGGGGAGAAAUAUGUUAAUAAGCAAGAAAAUUGGCAACUAUGUCAAAAUUUAGCAAUAAAGGACAAGAAGUUUAGGACAAAGACUAGGGAAAUGCUUAGUUCAACUAAUAAUAUGCUGAAAUUCACUAGCUGAGUGACUUACAGAAGAUGGUCCUUUCCUCGGUUUACCUCCCAGUUUUUGGAAUGUAUGGCUCUUCCCAUCCUUAUUCUAUUGGUUUUUCUAGAUUGUAUUGGAGUAACGAGAAAGGAGAGAAGAAUCAGUGAAAUGGAGUACUAGAUGAAUGAAGUUUCUGCUACUGAGUGUGAAUUUUGCUGGCAAUUGAUUUCCUCUACAAGAAGAGAAAAGGGGGUGUAUUUCCUAGUGCAUUACCCACUUAAUUGGGUCCAAAGGGAGAGCGUAAAUUUCACCUAUUGUCCCUGAAAUUAAGACGAUGUAACAGCAUGGUCCAUAAAACAUGUAGCAAUAGUAGUGACAUAUUCACAAUAGUCUGUUACAGCUAUGGCUUUACUGAAUGUGAAGUUUACUGAGAACUGAUUUCCACUACAAGGAAAAGGGAGGUGUUUUUUUGGUGCAUUGCCCACUUAAUUGGGUCCAAAGGGA